rnacentral:tRNA from 1 species
GGAGAGGUGGCCGAGUGGUCUAAGGCGCGGGUUUGCUAAACCCGUGAGGGGGAAUACCCCUCCGCAGGUUCGAAUCCUGUCCUCUCCG